rnacentral:rRNA from 1 species
UACGAAGGGGGCGAGCGUUGUUCGGAAUCACUGGGCGUAAAGCGUGCGUAGGCGGUUAUGAAAGUUAGGAGUGAAAGCCCCAGGCUCAACUUGGGAAUUGCUCUUAAUACUCCAUGACUCGAAUUCGGGAGAGGAUAGCGGAAUUGUCAGUGUAGCAGUGAAAUGCGUAGAUAUUGACAGGAACACCGGUGGCGUAAGCGGCUAUCUGGACCGACAUUGACGCUGAGGCACGAAAGCGUGGGGAUCAAACAGG